rnacentral:lncRNA from 1 species
CUAACGGGAUAACUGCCAGAGCAGAAGACAGUUGGCAGUUAUUUCGCAACCUUCAUCUGUUCCUGGAAGAUACCCGUAGCCUGCCUUCCUUCUUGACAGGCUGAUUUAGGGGUGCUCCCCAAGAAGAUCAGGACUGCUGAAAGAAUGAAGAAGAACUUACUUGGCCUAGGAUGUGGCUAGAGAACGGAGCGCACUUUCACUUACCUGGCAAGGUGGUUUUGGAAGUUUCCACGGAAGCCUUCCCAGGGCCGCUGCUGCCCGUCCUCGCCUAGGUGUGGAGCUUCCCGACCGGCUGGGGAGGGAAUGUCCUGCGGGAGCCGCCGAGGACCCUCUUUAGCCUCUUCCCUGGCUUGGCUGCAGCUGCAGUCUGGUACUCGCCCAUUCUGCUCUUCUUCACCUCCGUAUUUUCUCUCUCACGGAAGAAGAAUUCCAUUCUCCCAUCCCAGGAAGGAGAGUGCCCUGCGUGCCACGAAAGAGCCCAGGACCCACAGGACAAAUACGUCACUGGCAGACCUGCCUUCGCCAGCGCCAGCCCAUCUCUGAAACCUCCAGCAUUUGUGCCCCGGUCCGGCCCCUCCCAGGCCUGACUCUUUCCGAACGGUCACUGCGCAGGAUCAAGCUACAAUGAAGAGGAGGGAGGCAGUCUGCGCGCACCGCCAUUUUCUAGGAACUGGGAAGCCCCCCCACCCCUUAGGAAGAUCCAUCCCUGUGGAACCUUGCCCAGGCUUACCAGCCUUUGCUGAGGUUGAUCUAUUGUCCCUCCUUGUCCCCAUCAAAAUAUCCAGCACUCCACCUUCAGGGAGUAGACUUGACCCUCAAAUAGCAAGUUCAGCCUUCCCAGGUCUAGGUUCCCUGGGAGGUCAAGAUUCGUCUGGUUCCUUAGUACAGAGGGCUAGCUGUGAGUUGGAAUCCCCCUAUGAGCUUUAGAAUCAGUCAAGAGGAAUUGGGCCCCUUCCCUUCAUCCCUCUUCUUUUCCCUUUUUGUCCCAGAGCUCAGCUCUGACUCAAAAGUUUUUCCAUUUACCAUCAACAUGGAAACUUGGCUCCUCACGUAGGUAUAUUAUCCCCCUUUUGUACAUGGUCUUGUUGAUCCAAACUCCCUUUCUGUGAAAGAGGCCUGUGGGGCUCAAGAAGCCUGGUCAGCCAGCCAGGCUAGUCCCACAUACCUCAGAACCAGUUUAAUAAAGGCUCUAUGUCAUUCUUUU